GGAGCGCGUGUGCUGUGCCGCUGGACCCGUGGCUCAGAGGCGGCAGCUGCUGCGGGGAGAACUGUAGUGAGCGCACUUCCUGCCCAACUGUUCCUCAUCCCCACUCUCUCCACCCCAUUUCUCACCCCAGGCUAUAGAACGGAGGGCGAGCCACCCAGCCGCUGCUGCUGCUACGGGCAGGAGAGGCCUGGAGCCCUGAAGGCCGGUUUCCCAAUCUUUCCAUUCGUAGCGAAGCCCAUUCCUACACGCCUGUUCCUAGCCUGGGCACGCUGGCUUGUUCGCUGACUGGAGGGGUGCGGGGAUGAGUCAUAGCACAAGUCUCACCACCCACGGUAUCUGGGAGGCCAGCAGUCCAUAGGGUGGGCGACUCUCACGCCUUCUCCCACCCGGCGUCCCAAGUAGCUCUCCUGAAAGGUGGUGAUACAGCGGGCCCGGCUCCACAGAACUCGGAAAGUGAAGCAUGGGCGCUGAUUCAUUAGGGCUCAGGGAGCCUGAGGGCUGGUCGAGAGGAGCUGAAUAAGUGUCUGGGUUACCCAAGACAACAAGGAUACAACCGCAUUUGCUCCCACCCCUCAGACAGAGACAAACACCUACAAGAUCUCUAUCAAGCAUUCUUACAACUACAAUAGCCACAGGCUGAAAUGAAGAAACAGAUUGACAGAGCCAGAAGAGUACCCAGAAGUCACCUACUACAGGACAGGACCAACAAAGACAAUAACAGAAUGCCACUAGCCAUCACCUUUAGCCCCCAGCUAAAACCUCUCCAGCGCAUCAUCAAGGAUCUACAACCUAUCCUGAAGGACGACCCAUCACUCUCACAGAUCUUGGGAGACAGGCCAGUCCUUGCUUACAGACAGCCCCCCAACCUGAAGCAAAUACGCACCAGCAACCACACACCAAGCAACAAAAACACUAACCCAGGAACCUUUCCUUGCAACAAAGCCCGUUGCCAGCUGUGUCCACAUAUCUAUUCAGGGGACACCAUCAUAGGGCCUAAUCACAUCAGCCACACUAUCAGAGGCUCAUUCACCUGCGCAUCUACCAAUGUGAUAUAUGCCAUCAUGUGCCAGCAAUGCCCCUCUGCCAUGUACAUUGGCCAAACUGGACAGUCUCUACGUAAAAGAAUAAAUGGACACAAAUCAGACGUCAAGAAUAAUAACAUUCAAAAACCAGUUGGAGAACACUUCAAUCUCUUUGGUCACUCGAUUUCAGACCUAAAAGUGGCAAUUCUUCAACAAAAAAACUUCAGAAACAGACUCCAACGAGAGACUGCUGAAUUGGAAUUAAUUUGCAAACUGGAUACAAGUAACUUAGGCUUGAAUAGAGACUGGGAGUGGAUGGGUCAUUACACAAAGGAAAACUAUUUCCCCAUGUUCCUCCCCCACCCCACCCCAUGUUCCUCAGACGUUCUUGUCAACUGCUGGAAAUGGCCCACUUUGAUUAUCACUACAAAAGGUUUUUUCUCUCCUGCUGGUAAUAGCUCACCUUAAGUGAUCACUCUCCUUACAGUGUGUAUGGUAACACCCAUUGUUUCAUGUUCUCGGUGUAUAUAAAUCUCCCCACUGAAUGCAUCCGAUGAAGUGAGCUGUAGCUCACGAAAGCUUAUGCUCAAAUAAAUUGGUUAGUCUCUAAGGUGCCACAAAUCCUCCUUUUCUUUUUGAGAAUACAGACUAACACGGCUGCUACUCUGAAAUCUCGUGGUGUUUAUUUUGCAAGACCAGGUUAUUAACCCUGAUGUCCUGGCCAGUUUCCAAUUUAAAUAAUGGUGU